AGACAAGCCUGUCCAACAUGGCGAAACCCUCUCUCUACUAAAAAUACAAAAAUUAGUUGGGUUCUGUUGGCUUAUGCCUGUAAUACUAGCUACUUGGGAGGCUGAGGCAGGAGAAUCGCUCGAACCCGGGAGAUGGAGGUUGCAGUGAGCUGGGAUCCUGCCACUGCACUCCAGCCUGGGCGACAGAGACAGACUCUGUCUCAAAAAAAAAAAAAAAAAAAAAAAAAGAGUUUAUGGAUAAGCUCCUGCCCAUUAUGACAAUAUUUUUCAGUCUCCCCAUUUUUCUUUCUUACUUCAGUUUCCAUAACAACCCAUAUCCCAUAAGCAACUGAAGUUACUAAUUAGGAGACAGUUUUCACUAGCUUUUUGAUGUUUGCUUUUCAGGGAACCUUUGCUCUUAUUGACACUCUGUGAUCUACAACCCUGCCAAUUAGGUUGUAGUUUCCAAGCAUUCUGGACUCCCCAGUGCCUACUAUAAUAAUAUUUUAAGUUUUGUGGUUGUUACACCAGUAUCAAUAAAUUUUAAAAAAUAUAAUUUUCUCUGAAUGCAUGUAAGAUACAAGAAAAACAUACUUUCUUCAGUGUUAGCCAAUCUUCAGAAAGAAGAAAAAAAACUUACUCAUCUUAAAGAAAACAAAGAGUGAAGAGAAAUGUGCUUUCUGCUGAUAUUGUGCCUGAAGAGGAAUUAUAGACUUGCCAAAGAAGCUGCUUAUUUCACAGAAGGACGGUGCUGGCUGAAAGAUGCUUCCUUGAAACUGAGAGACUGCUGCCUUAGACAGGUCUCCUUGAAGAGAUAUCAAACCUCACCAUGUCACUAUCUACUACCUUGGAGUCUGGAGAACACUGAAUGGAUGAAUGGAUGGAUGGACAAAAGGAUGAAAUAGAUGGAUUAAUGAACAUUAUCUGCUGACUGAUAUUCAAAGUCCUUAGCAUAUAGUCUUAGGUUUUCAAAGAGAGUCUGAGCCUGCAGAGCAAAGGAAUGGAAAAUUUGAGAGCUUUUUAUAAUAAGAAAGUGCAUGUCUUGUUAUAGACAUAUAAUGAAUAUAUGUAUUCUAAUAGCACCAUGCAAAUUGCCUGUGUUUAAGAAUACUUGAACUUUUGAAUAGCUCAUAAAGGGAAUGAAGAAAAAAGAAAAUUUGAGAGCUUUUUGAUGGC
rnacentral:lncRNA from 10 species